rnacentral:rRNA from 1 species
GGAUGGGCGGCGGCUACACAUGCAAGUCGAGCGGUAGAGAGGUGCUUGCACCUCUUGAGAGCGGCGGACGGGUGAGUAAUGCCUAGGAAUCUGCCUGGUAGUGGGGGAUAACGCUCGGAAACGGACGCUAAUACCGCAUACGUCCUACGGGAGAAAGCAGGGGACCUUCGGGCCUUGCGCUAUCAGAUGAGCCUAGGUCGGAUUAGCUAGUUGGUGAGGUAAUGGCUCACCAAGGCGACGAUCCGUAACUGGUCUGAGAGGAUGAUCAGUCACACUGGAACUGAGACACGGUCCAGACUCCUACGGGAGGCAGCAGUGGGGAAUAUUGGACAAUGGGCGAAAGCCUGAUCCAGCCAUGCCGCGUGUGUGAAGAAGGUCUUCGGAUUGUAAAGCACUUUAAGUUGGGAGGAAGGGCAUUAACCUAAUACGUUAGUGUUUUGACGUUACCGACAGAAUAAGCACCGGCUAACUCUGUGCCAGCAGCCGCGGUAAUACAGAGGGUGCAAGCGUUAAUCGGAAUUACUGGGCGUAAAGCGCGCGUAGGUGGUUCGUUAAGUUGGAUGUGAAAUCCCCGGGCUCAACCUGGGAACUGCAUUCAAAACUGUCGAGCUAGAGUAUGGUAGAGGGUGGUGGAAUUUCCUGUGUAGCGGUGAAAUGCGUAGAUAUAGGAAGGAACACCAGUGGCGAAGGCGACCACCUGGACUGAUACUGACACUGAGGUGCGAAAGCGUGGGGAGCAAACAGGAUUACAUACCCUGGUAGUCCACGCCGUAAACGAUGUCAACUUCCGUUGGGAGCCUUGAGCUCUUAGUGGCGCAGCUAACGCAUUAAGUUGACCGCCUGGGGAGUACGGCCGCAAGG